AACGCUGGCGGCGUGCCUGACACAUGCAAGUCAACGGGGUAACUCGCUGAAAUUGAGAUCAGCUUGCUGAAGGAGAUUCUUGAGUUACUUAGUGGCGGACGGGUGAGUAACGCGUGAGCAACCUGCCUUACAGAGGGGGACAACAGUUGGAAACGACUGCUAAUACCGCAUAACGUCGCGGGACCGCAUGAUCCUGCGACCAAAGAUUUAUCGCUGUAAGAUGGGCUCGCGUCCGAUUAGAUAGUUGGUGAGGUAACGGCCCACCAAGUCGACGAUCGGUAGCCGGACUGAGAGGUUGAACGGCCACAUUGGGACUGAGACACGGCCCAGACUCCUACGGGAGGCAGCAGUGGGGGAUAUUGCACAAUGGGCGCAAGCCUGAUGCAGCAACGCCGCGUGAAGGAAGAAGGUCUUCGGAUUGUAAACUUCUGUUUUCGGUGAAGAAACAAAUGACGGUAGCCGAAGAGGAAGCCACGGCUAACUACGUGCCAGCAGCUGC
rnacentral:rRNA from 1 species